rnacentral:rRNA from 1 species
GACGAACGCUGGCGGCGUGCUUAACACAUGCAAGUCGAACGGAAAGGCCCUGCUUUUGUGGGGUGCUCGAGUGGCGAACGGGUGAGUAACACGUGAGUAACCUGCCCUUGACUUUGGGAUAACUUCAGGAAACUGGGGCUAAUACCGGAUAGGAGCUCCUGCUGCAUGGUGGGGGUUGGAAAGUUUCGGCGGUUGGGGAUGGACUCGCGGCUUAUCAGCUUGUUGGUGGGGUAGUGGCUUACCAAGGCUUUGACGGGUAGCCGGCCUGAGAGGGUGACCGGCGACAUUGGGACUGAGAUACGGCCCAGACUCCUACGGGAGGCAGCAGUGGGGAAUAUUGCACAAUGGGCGGAAGCCUGAUGCAGCAACGCCGCGUGCGGGAUGACGGCCUUCGGGUUGUAAACCGCUUUCGCCUGUGACGAAGCGUGAGUGACGGUAAUGGGUAAAGAAGCACCGGCUAAAUACGUG